CGGCGGAUGCUCUGAGAAUCUCGGGUUCUAGCUCGUUGGUUUGUAAUCUCAAUGGGUCACAGAGACGCCCUGUUCUCACUCCUCUGUCUCAUCAUCGUUCUACCUGUCUGGGUCUUCCUCCUCGCGCUUCACUUUCUCAUCUUCUCGGUAAAGCUCGUAUCGGGCUUGGCUCUUCAAAGCUAUCACACCGAAGGAAACAAUUCUCUGUCUUCGCCGCCGCCGAAGGUCUAUUCUCUAUGCUCUCUCUCAAAAAGCUUUAAUCUUUCGCUUACCCAUUUCCGUUUUCUUCCUAAAGAGUUUGAUAUUGCAUGUAUGCCUUCUAAGUGUUCGUUAAAAUGCCUGUGAGAAGUGUUUCCACUAUUACUUUAGUUUGAUGCUUUAUUAUGUGUUACUUAGGAGAGGGGAAGCGCGCCGUGCCGCUUAAAGACUACAGAAACAUUGGCAUCAUGGCUCACAUAGACGCUGGAAAGACCACAACAACUGAGAGGAUUCUCUACUACACCGGAAGAAACUACAAAAUCGGCGAAGUUCACGAAGGCACAGCUACAAUGGACUGGAUGGAGCAAGAGCAAGAAAGAGGAAUCACCAUCACUUCAGCUGCAACCACCACGUUCUGGGACAAGCACAGGAUCAACAUCAUCGAUACGCCUGGACACGUGGAUUUCACUCUCGA
rnacentral:lncRNA from 1 species